rnacentral:rRNA from 1 species
GUAAACCUCUUUUCUCAGGGAAUAACACAGUGAAGGUACCUGAGGAAUCAGCAUCGGCUAACUCCGUGCCAGCAGCCGCGGUAAUACGGAGGAUGCAAGCGUUAUCCGGAAUGAUUGGGCGUAAAGCGUCCGUAGGUGGAUAUUCAAGUCURUUGUCAAAGCACAAGGCUUAACCUUGUAAAGGCAGUGGAAACUGAAAGACUCGAGUGCAGGUAGGGGUAGAGGGAAUUCCCGGUGUAGCGGUGAAAUGCGUAGAGAUCGGGAAGAACACCAGUGGCGAAAGC